AUGAACGCUGGCGGCGUGCCUAAUACAUGCACGUCGAGCGAACAGACGAGGAGCUUGCUCCUCUGACGUUAGCGGCGGACGGGUGAGUAACACGUGGAUAACCUACCUAUAAGACUGGGAUAACUUCGGGAAACCGGAGCUAAUACCGGAUAAUAUAUUGAACCGCAUGGUUCAAUAGUGAAAGACGGUUUUGCUGUCACUUAUAGAUGGAUCCGCGCCGCAUUAGCUAGUUGGUAAGGUAACGGCUUACCAAGGCAACGAUGCGUAGCCGACCUGAGAGGGUGAUCGGCCACACUGGAACUGAGACACGGUCCAGACUCCUACGGGAGGCAGCAGUAGGGAAUCUGCCGCAAUGGGCGAAAGCUUGACGGAGCAACGCCGCGUGAGUGAUGAAGGUCUUCGGAUCGUAAAACUCUGUUAUUAGGGAAGAACAAAUGUGUAAGUAACUAUGCACGUCUUGACGGUACCUAAUCAGAAAGCCACGGCUAACUACGUG
rnacentral:rRNA from 1 species